GCCAAGCACAGCUAGCGGUUACUGGGUAUGAUGGUACGAUUGGGAUGGAGGCGAUGGGUUGGGUUGAUCCAGCUACCAUGAAACGGGACGUCCAAGGGUCAAUCGAAUGGGUGCGGGAGUCGUUGGCGAUGGAAAUGGGGGCACAGAUCGGAGCGAACGGAAACAUCUGACUAGCUCCAUCCACUCAAUCAACCGAGAACAUGGCAGUAGCGGCGAGCGAGCACCAUGGGGUGAGUGGGCUCAUGCGGCUGGUAGGCAUCCACCAGUCCGUGGGCACCUAUCGGCCUGCAAAAGGGUCCGGCAUUUGGCAGCUCAAAUAGCAAGAUUGGGGGUUAUAUUUAGGGCUACUGGAAUUGCAGCGACUGUGCUCGGAAGGAAUACGACUGUCCCCCCAUUCAUUCAACAGUACGAGAGGUCUUGGGGGUGACGAUUCGAGUGCGGUUUGAACGGUUUGGAAUGAUCUGCCCACGAAGGUGAAAGCCCUUACAUUCGUCCUGACCAUUGAGAGUGGAGCCUAAAGAAGUAGUACGCGGCGUGUUCGACGUAUUGUCCGCGACAACCUGCAGCAACACGGGGAACCACCCUCUGCAAUGGUUGACGUACCGGAUUCGUCCAUGACACCGAUAGCCCAACGAGUACCGUGAGGGGCAUUUGAAAGAGCACCCACCACAUUCCGAAGGGAGUGAAAUAGAACCCCAAUUCCGAUGCUGUUCGGACAGUCGGAGAAGCGAGUAGCAUAGCAGCGGCAAGAAAACCUCAAUUGGAGUUGGCCGAUUGGGUUGGUCACUCACUCGAUUCCAAACGGCGUACCUUUUGCAUGAUGGGUCAGCGAGUCAAUGGGCAAUGCGGCUAGAGCUACUAGGUCAUUGCGCUACUAUCCAUUGGGACGUGCUGCCUUUGGACCCGAAACCGAUCGAGCUAGCCAUAGGCAGGUGGUCACUUGCUAGUUGGCAGUGGCGGACCGAGCCCAAGUAUGUGGCAAAAUACUGGGACGACUGGUGGCUAGGGGUGAUAGGCCAACCGAGAUCGGGGAUAGCUGGUUUUCCGCGAAAGCUAUUUCAGUAGUGCGUACCUACAAUCGAAAUGGCCCGAGGUAGAGGGUGCUGGUGCGUUGGCAUUGGCAAUGGAUAUGUGAUGCUAUGAGGUCCAUGGGUACUCUAUUCGAAUACUGGCCUGGUAUCAGUGGUACAAGACAGACGGUGCGGUGCCAAGAUCCACUGUCGAGAGGGAAAGAGCCCAGAUCGUCAGCUAAGGUCCCCAAGCAACUAUCUUAGUGCGCAAGGAAGUGGGGGUAUCGGAGCUGGUUCAGGCGGUCGGCUUGGAAGCAGCCAUACGGAUGAUCGAAAGCGUCAUAGCUCACUGGUCAAGGGCGAGUUCGAACCGACAAUGUCACGGGUCUAUUCUAUAAGUGGUGCACCGAAGCGACGAGACGAUUCCAUCAUGGCACCGCCAAUACGACAACGAUGGUGCUGUCAGUAGCGGGACGUUCUGUUGAUAUAUGGUAGGGCCUUGGCUACUACGCCUGGGGUUUGCUCAGAAGAGAGAAUGCUGACAUGAGUAUACUAUUUCAAUCCUGUUUCCACGGGGAGCGCUAGCAGUAGAUCAGGGUUUCAACGGGUGGUCGGAAGUGUUGAGUGAAUCGGUCCCUUAGCUCUCCUUUUGCCGAUGGGGGUACUCGAGAGUGAGAGGUCUAUUUGACUGACAGUGAAACGCCAAUGAACAUGCGUGCUGGACUUGGUGGUUGGCCUUCCAUGGUCCCGAAAGCCCUGCCAAUCGCUCUCACCCACUGAACCCUUGGGCCAAUUCCAUCGCAAUGGCACGGGUGGAGGUCAUGAGAUGGCGGCUUUCCAAUGGCCCAUUCAAUGGGCUGUUCAGCAUUGCUGGAAAAACCACUGGCAUAUCGCACAAGGGCAGUGGGUUGAGUUGCGCAAUGGGCAGGGGAUCGACGGUUUAGGUCCAAAGGGCGACUGGUCAUCGGUUUCAUGGCUCAUUCACUGACACCACCUCACGACUAUAUGAAUGAUGGGGGGAGUGGACUUGAUUGCACGGCUGCCACCACCAUCUCUUCCAUAUGGCAGUGCCGAAGGCGGGGAAUGAUUGGAGAAGCUAGGUUUUUCCUGUGAUACUUGUUGGGUGGGGGCAAAGGGCCACGGUAGCGGGAAAAGACCAACCGCUGUACGCGCCCAUUCCAUUCCAUAUGAUAUAUUCAAAGGAUUCACCAUAUUAUAUAUUAUAUUCAAAGGUCUAUAUGAAAAGGAGUCACCAUAUUAUAUAUUAUAUGAAAAGGUCUAUAUGAAAAGGAGUCACCAUAUUAUAUAUUAUAUGAAAAGGAGUCAACCCCAACCGCUGUACACGGUAGGACAGACAGUCAGUGCAUUGGACUUUAUGGUGGAAGUGGUUGGGCUAUGGCAAGCAUAAACUGGAAACAACUGCGAGUGGACGAGUCGAAUCAAGCCGGAAAACAGAUGACCGUACCAACAACCGACACAGGUGCACCAGUAGAGUAUACUAUUUGGCGCGUGAGCAACCCAUUUUGAAGGAACUCGGCAAGCGCUUGAACCACCAGUUGUGUCAGUUCAUUGGAUAGACCUAUCUCAUUGGAUCACCUCCGGUCCAUGCAUCCAACAGGUGGGGAGCAAGGGUAGCGACUGUUUAUUAAAAACACAGGACUCUGCUAAGAGGUCGACCUACGUAUAGAGUCUGACACCUGCCCGGUGCUGCAAGGCCGAUGCAGUUGGGUACCGAGCGGAGGGAAAACGUAUCGACCUAGUGGUAAACGGCGGCAGUAACCCUAACUGUCCGAAGGUAGCGAAAUGCCUUGUCGCAUAAGUAGCGACCUGCACGAAUGGUGUCACGACUGCCCAGCUGUCUCCGAAAUGGAAUCCGGUGAAAAUGAACUCUCGGUUCAGAUGCCGAGCUCCCCACGGCUAGACGGUAAGACCCCGUGCACCUUGACUAUUCGCUUCGCUGUGAGCAAGACAGUCGAAUGCCUCGUAGGAUGGUAGUAGUGAUCUGGUCUCCUACCGCCACCGCUCCACCAACACGUGGGGCCACUCGUUCGGUCAAUGCCCAAUGCUCUAACCCGAGUGCAUCAUGAGUUAAAUGAAUCGACUCACCAGUUCCACUAUAGGCACAACAAUGACCACCAUAUCCACAUUGGCUCGGAAGGCAACGGGUGGCCAAUAGAUCAUCCAAUGGGUGUAGACGAUUCAUGGAUGAUGGGCUUCGAGGUUUUGUCAAUCGCUUGGCAGUGAUGGUUGCCCACUACUCCGAUACGGUCACGGGGCAGUUGUCAUUGAAAUGGUGGUAUUCAAAGGUGGUGGUCAUUGGUGGUUUGGUUCAUAUUGCACUUCGACGUCUUGGGAACAGAGCGAGUUCGGUAGUUUAUCUGGGGCGGAUGCCUCCUAAAGAGUAACGGGUGGUGCGCAAUGGCCAAAGACACCCAACUCUACCGGGCGCGUAUUGGUGUUCAACGCCUGACUGCAAGAUGGCACAACUCGAGCAGGGACAGAAGGCAGUGCUGUCGGCCAUAGUGAACCGGGCAGUUCCGUGUGGUUGGGCGCUCGCGAAACGGAUCACAGGUACGCCGGGGAUAACAGGCUGAUGAAACCCAAGAGCUCGGAUCGACGGUUUCGUUUGGCACCUCGAUGUCGACUCAUCACCUCCUGGGGCGGAAGCUGGUCCCAAGGGUUCGGUUGUUCGCCGAUUGAAAACAGUGGUACGUGAGUUGGGUUUAGAACGUCGUGAGACAGUUCGGUUCCUAUCUACCGUGGGGUCAUGAGAACGGAAAGGUACACGCCCUAGUACGAGAGGACUGGAAUCGAGCGCGGGGCCAACCCAUUGCGAGCCGGAACCCGGGUGGCGGUAUACGGUGCAGCUACGUUGUUGGUAUCAUCUCUAUUGGUGGUGGUCACUGGUGGAUGGAUCUUGGAACGCCACUUGGACUCGUUCUCGGACUCGGUAGAAGAACAGUACCCGAGCGGAUAGGCGAGAUGUGAACCAUCCCUUUUGGCACUCGAUUUGUUCCUGCGGCGGAGAUCGGGGAGCUAUCAUGGAGCAAGCGUAUUCGUACUAAUCGGACAGCUAGCUAAUAGGUAGCUCGGAGCUCAUGGGUUUCC
rnacentral:rRNA from 1 species